CUGAUUGCUAUGAUAAAAACAUAUUUUUAUUUUAUAAUGAAUGCGACAUGUGCAGCUAGGCUUAUUUUCUUACCAAAAUCCAAGACUUUAGCUGGCGCUGUCUCUCCAUUCCAAGGCACAUCAUAGAUGUUCCCGACUGCUGACUGAAGCUUCUUUCCAAGGGCCAUUAACUUUAACUCGGCACCACACUUUCCCACUUCUAUUACAUCCCAUUGUGGUGGAUCUUCAAUCCAUUGUAAGAGUAACCAUGUUGUGGUAGACGAUGCCAUUCUCUCGGAUCCACUUGAUUUCCCACUGGGCACUGUAUUAUCACACUUUUCAAAAGAUUCUUUAGAAUAUUUGUAAUGCGCGCUUUUACCUUCCUGAGCUAUUGACACACGUGGUGGUCAAACCAGUUAUAACCGGAUAUAGCCAGCAGUGGUUCUUAGUCCUGAUUGGUGCUUAUUUACAAUAACAGUGUAUAAAGUGUCUAGUAUUGUUAUAGAAAAUACAAAUAUCUAUGAGGGACAUUAUUUUAAUGUUAUAAGCUAUCUUGAUUUGUCAAACUCAAUCAGUAUUCGAGUUAUUUAUUUUCUGCAUUUCCGGUCCUGCAUUCCAAGAUGGCAGCCGCUAUCCCAUGUCCCACGCUACACUGAGGAGUAUCUAAUCAAUAAGUACUGCGAAGAAAUAACCAGUUUGAAGUUCAUAUAGUGAUAAUCAGAAGAGGAAAUGAGCAAAAGGAAAAGGUACCACUCUAGUUUUGAGUCUUUAGAUUUCGCUAAAAUGUCAGGAAAUGCCGAUGAAUGUGGCCAUGAUGGACGCGGUGGUGAUUGUAUUAGUAAUCAUGGUGCAUCAUCGUCUCUUUCUAAUGAAAGUAGUAAGUCAUCAUUGUUCACGGACACAAGUUUUUCGUCUGACUGCAAUGACGGUAUAAGCGAAAGGACUGGCUCAGUGGUAUCAUCGCAAACAUCUCUGACAUCAAACGACAGUGAGUACUCUUUUGGACAGGAUGAUGAACUUCUAGGCUUACCCCAACACGACCGUGUCCAUGAUGUGGAAAAUAAAGUCAAAGAUGGAGAUGAAGUUGUUCCCAAAAAUAAUGAAGUGUUAAGAGGUAAGCACUAACAUAAUCAGAGUCAGUUGGAUUGUGAAAUUCACCAAUUUCUCCCACCCAGUAUUUAGAUAUCUUGUGUCUGAUCAAAAUAAUAGAGUAAUAAUAAAUAUUUCAUUGCAGGUGAAGAGGGCAAUGGAUCGACAGACGGUGAAAGUCAAAGUGAAGUGUCUCUCUCUUCUACCAGUCAUUCGACCCCUGAGAAUCUUGAAAAUGGUGAACUCGAUCAAUAUGAAAGAUAUAAUGAUGAAGAACUGGCUGAGAGACUUAAUGAUUUGGAUCAGAACCUCUAUGAUGGGUGCCAAAUAACAAGGCGAGAGAGUAUUCUACUCAUAAUGGGACACAUCAUAAGGAAUCAUGUGAGUGGAACAGCUCUGCAGAGCCUACUGACAGUCUUGGAGGCACAUUUACCAGCUGGAACUGUAUUCCCUGCUUCCCAAUAUCUUUUUAUGAAGAACUUUAAAAACAG